rnacentral:lncRNA from 1 species
CCCGUAUGGUGUCUGCAGUCAGCGACCCUCCAACUUCAACUACUGGAUCAACCAUGUGUGAGUGCAUCUCCAUCCAUGUGGGCCAGGCCGGAGUGCAGAUGGGCAAUGCCUGCUGGGAGCUGUACUGCCUGGAGCACGACAUCCAGCCCAGUGGCACCAUGCCCAGCCACAAGGCCCUGGGGAGUAGUGAUAACUCCUUCAACACCUUCUUCAGGGGGACCCAGCCUGGCAGGCAUGUGUCCUGGGCUGUCUGUGGACCUGGAGCCUGCUGUCAUAGGUGAGUGGACGGAGGAGUGGGGGCUCCUUCCCCCAGGCCAUAGUUUGCUAGCGCCAAUGUCAGAUGGGAGCUCUGCUUAAGGGGAAAA